rnacentral:tRNA from 1 species
GCCCGGGUGGCUCAGUGGUUGAGCGUCUGCCUUUGACUCAGGAUGUGAUCCCAGGGGUUCUGGGAUCGAGUCCUACACCGGGCU